UAGAAAAGGUCAGUGAGUUUGGCCCAGGAGACGCUGUCAGGGCAGGAACAGGGUUUGUUUGGCCUCACAGGACAUCCUAGCCAGGCAACAGCAGUAUCCAGCUUCUGGGAAUGACGCUUUCUGCUCGCUCCUGCCCUUCCCUGAGUGUGUUCGGGCAUGUUAGAAGCAUGACGUGAGCUACUGCCAGGGUAACCUGCAACACGCAAGAAGUGAUGUAACACGAGGAAGAAGAAACAUUGCCGUCAGACCGGAGUCCUGGGCACAGUUACUUAAGGCAUUGCUGGUCAUCGAACCAACGGGCCACUGGUCACCAUGGUAACGACAAUCAAAACACCAAUUCCCGCUUUCCUGGGCUGGUGUUGAAUGACGACUGUGCUACACAGAAGAGCAACUUAAUCCCUCAGCGCACAAUAAACAGAGCUGCCAGUUCCAGCCUUGCAGAUGAUGGAGAAGAAUAGCUUAAAUGACAGGGAAUCUUCACACAUGACAUGUCACCAACGUGACUGCCUAAACAAGACCUGAAAAAGGAUGACACCGACAGAGAUGCAAACGUGCAUGCGGGGAAAUCUUACAGAGCUCCACCUGUAAACAAAGAACUACAGAGAAGAAAAACAAGAUGAUAUCCAAAUGGAUUCCAGCCCUGGUAGCCUGAGCCAAGCAUGGAGGGAAGGAGGAACAUCAAGAAGAGGCUGGGAAGACGAUACCAUUCCCCACGGUCACAAAAGACCCUGCGUGACAUCCUGAGGCAUGUGAACUUUGGCCAGCGGGGAGCCCUGAGCAGGUCAGUGGGCCAACAGAGUGUCUGAAGGACCGAAGAGGAAAAGGUGCAUGAGAAUGGGGGAGGGGAGCCCAGGCACCUCGCUUUCUCAGUUGCCAAGCAGGAGGUAGAAAAACGGGUGGGAAUGUGUGAUGAGGUGCCCUUCACCACUCAGACCCCUCUCCUGCUGUCUCCUUUGGCCGGUUAUUGUCUUCUAAACUCAUUCCUAUCUUCAAAAAGCAGAGACAAAAACGACUCUUUUACUGUCAACUGAUGUUGGUGACUGGUCACUUCACACCGGAGAAGCCCAAGAAAACACGACAAAGGGUGGGACAACUACAACUAAUUCAUAAAGGGCAUGCCACAGUCCUCAGCCAGAUCAUGUCACUGGUCGACUGCCUAGUCUAGACAGAGUUCCCCUGGCCCUAUGACCUUUCCUGAGUUCCAGCAUCACAAACCCACUCCUCUGUAAUCAGCCACCAUCGAGCCAUCCCUGUCCUCAGUAUCAGCUCCGGCAAGUCAGGAAACUCCCACAAGGUUCCCAGUAGACCUUUGAAGAUAGAAAUGCCACAUCCAAGUCUCCGAUUUAUGAUAUGGCAUGAACUCCACACUUGUCUCCCACUCUUUAGUCCAGCACAAAUGAGCCGAAGUAGAUAUGUACAACUGGAACCGAGAGAACACCUCACUUAGGACAGUCCUCAGCACCCUUGCAGCCAGCGUGGGGCUUAGCCAAGAGCAGGACACUGAGAUGCUGGCCAUGCCCUGGCACCUUUUUCCUGCCCAAGCCUUCCAGGUGACGCAGCUGUCUUAGGGUUUCUAUUGCUGCAACAAAA